GUGCUCGCUUCAGCAGCACAUAUACUAAAACUGGAAUGAUAUGGAGAAGAUUAGCAUGGCUUCUGUGCAAGGAUAACAGGCAAAUUUGUGAAGCAUUCCAUAUUUUU
ensembl:snRNA U6 U6 spliceosomal RNA